UUUUUUUUUUUUUUGGUCUGAUUUAAAAGUUAUAUGAGCUACAGACAUUCAGUAAAGGUUUUCCUAUCCUCUGUACUGCUUAAAAGCCAUUGAUAAAAACUACAAUUACUUAAUAAAUUAGCUCUGAACAAAGGCCAAAAUGACUAUAAUUUCUUGAGUAGUUUCUGUAUGUCAGGUUCUUCCAUUAGAUAUAUUAUUAUUAUAAUGUCAUGUCUGUAAGUUAGUUAUGAUUAUCCUCUUAUGUUUCCAAGGAGAAAACUGAGUUCAGCGAGAUCACUAGAGUAGACCAGAGACAGAAUGCAAGCAGGUGGCAAUGCUGAGACUCAAAAUCUCUUCAAAAGAGAUUCAGAAUUUCAAACCUUGUGAUGUCCAUUACAAAAGCUUCCCAUCACCACUCACAUUCUAACAGAAUAAUUCCUACACCAACAAAAAAAAUUAACUGAUGAGGCAUUAAUAAUUACAACCUAGGAAUUAACUGUUAAGUGAGUAUCUACCAGUAAUUCUCCAAUAGCACAUAUUCAACAAAAAAGGCUGGAAGAAAAGGAGAAGUGAAGGAAGGGAGAGGGCAAAGAGGAAGGGAGGGAAAAGGAGAGAAGUAAAGUGAUUUCUUUAAUUCAUCAACUAUUUGUCGAGUGCUAAUUAUGCCCCAGACUCCAAUAGGAGGUAGAUACAAAGUUUAGCAAAAUCAUCUUUUCUCACCUCACAGAGUUUCUAGACAAGCAUUGGAGACUUUCACUCAUCAAAUAAUCACACAACAAAAUAUAAAAUCACAACUCUGUUAAUGCUGUCUAGCAGUGGUACAGGGCACUACUGAAAGUAUGUUACAGGGGAUGUGACACAGCCAGGUUGGUCAAGGAAGGCUUGCCCAAGGAUAUAUAACAACAAAGGAAAAACAUACUAAAUAAACAUUAACAGGGAGGGAAUAUGUUACAGACAAUGGUAACUGUAUAUUCAUAAGCCUUAGGUUGUGCUGGGGGUUGAAGACCGGUAAGCAGAAAGGAUUUAAAGCAGCUGGUGAGCAUGGAGUGCAGAGUGCAAUGCAGUGGAGUCAGGGGGGAGAUAAAACUUGGGGAGGUAGCCGGCAAGAUGAUGUUAAUGAGUACUGUAUUUUCCCCAAGAGCAAGUGGAAGCCACUAAAGUCACUAAACAAUCUUAAGGUGGCUGAAAACGAUUGAGUUUACUUGUCACACUAUGACAUUGAAAGCAAGACAAGGAUGCCAUUGUGAUCAUCCAGUUGAGGGCAAGAGCUUGGACUAGACUGAAAGCAGUGGAAACUUAGAGAUGCAAAUAGAAUUGAGAAGGAUAUAAGACUCUGUAGCUAUGGUUAUGCCUGUGGGUUGUGGUUACAGUUAUAGUUAUCAUCAUGGUUGCAGUUAUGGUUAUCGUAUGGUCACAUGGGCUGAGGGGAAAGGAAACUUUCAAAAAUGACUCAAGUUUCUUGUUUGACUAACAAAACACAUAGGGCUGUUACUCACUGAAGGAGGAGACAGAAGAGGAUGAAGUUUGCUGAGACUUGAUCAUGUGUUGUGACCUUGACAUGUUGAGCUUACACUGUGCCUUUCAAACAUUCAAAAGGUUAUCAGUUAGUCAUAUGGUCCUAAAGCUCAGAGGAGAGGUCUGGCUAGUGAGGGGAAGACUGCAAGUCAAAUGUAAAUAGGUAGUAUGGCAGUCAUGAGAGCUGCUUGCCAAGUAUUUCCGACUCUGUCCUCUGGGUAUCCUGUAGGCUUGACUAUCCUAACCUGGAUUCCUCAGUCAGGGGCUCAUCAAAAACAGAAACUACUUUAACAUUUAAACACAGAGAAUUUAAUACAGGGAACAGUUUACACAGGUGUUUAAAGAGCUGAGAAGCCAGAGGAUUGUGAAUAAGGGAGAAAGAGUCUAUUAAAUCCUUAGGAGAGCAGAGUCAAACAGGAAGUAGUAUUACCAGACCCCAGAAGCCACUUAUGGAAGCUGGAACUGCAUCAUGACUGUCUGUUUGGAGCUGAAAUCACAAAGAAGCCACUGCGGCUAGAGAUGCCCUCCAAAACUGAAAGAGGGACAGGAUGGAGUUGGCCCAGUGGGUUAAGAACUCAAUAUAGUGUCCAUGAGGAUGUGGGUUUGAUCCCUGGCCUUGCUCAGUGAGUUAAGGAUCCAGCAUUGCUGCAAGCUGCGGCAUAGGUCACAGAUGUGGCUUGGUUCCUGUGUUUCUGUGGUGUAGGUUGGAAGCUGCAACUCCAAUUCUACCCUUGGCUGGUUAACUUACAUAUGCUGCAGGUGCAGCCAUUUAAAAAAAGAAAAAAAAAAAAAACAAAAAAUAGAAAAGAAAGAAGAACAGGAUCUACUAUUCUAGUUUCUCCACUCCUCCCACCCUCUAUUCUCCCAUCACUAUCUCCCAGUGGCUGAAACUCCCUGGAAGCCAGACAGCAAAGAAACAGGAAACACAGUACCUUGCAAACCAGACCAAGAUUUUGAAAAGGGCAGAGAAUGGCUCAGAGCAAAUAGGCAAAAAUCUGACAUGGUGUGAUCACUUGCUAGUCCUGGUGAGUUGUAAGAGGAAGUGACGUGGCCCUUUUAUACAGAGCUCUUAACUACUAACAGGAGACUCUCAAAUGCCCUCCUUCUUCAGUCCCAACAACCAGUAACAUUCCAAAUAACAUCUGUUCCAUCACCCUGGGGCUGACAAUGAGGGUUAUACGGAGCACAGGCUCCAGGUGACCCACAAAGGAAGGGUAGCAUACAGCCUGAACGAAAAAUUUUUUAAGCCACGGAAAUGUUGAGAUUUGGAAACUGUUUGCUACUCACAGCAUAACCUAGCCUAUCCCAAGAAACAUAAAAAUUAGAAUGGGUGAGUGGGGUGAUGACCCCACCCCUUAACUUUAGCGGGCUGGCUGGCAGUCACUGAUGAAAUUGACACUGAAAGCUAGAGGGAUUAUUAUCUAAAUCACACAAUGGGGACAUAUUAGGUAAAUUAGUUGUAAAUGACAGAUUAAAAGCCAGGUAAUAUACCUUAGAAAUAUAUAACUGUUUCCUUGGUAUAGUUCUUGUAUCUGCCAUAUAUCCUUGCUUCCUCUCUUUCAACAAACUGGAGGUAUCACAGAUCUCUAGGAUCUAAGGAUCUACGUGUUGUCCUCUGGUAGUAACUGCUAUACAUUAUCUAGAGAUUUUGGACUUUUGGAUGGGAUUUACAAAAUGUCUCCCUUGAGAAGCAAGUAAGUUUAUUUUUUCUGUCAGGCCUAAUAGUUGAAGACCAGGAAAGCUAACCACAGUGGUCAUCAAAUAUUUUCAAUCUCUGCAUUCUGCCUCCAUGAUAGGAUUGCAUUUUGGUAGAUUCAUAUUAGUUUUUUCCAAAGUGUUCUAAGUAGAAAGGAUGUGUGUUACUUACACAUGAGGUCAUGGAAGAGCUGGUGUGAAAACUCUAAAAUUGUUUUUCCCUGUGACACAGAGACCAGCAACAUUUCAGAUACAAGUUAAUUCAUUAGCCUAGGUCUUAUGAGACAACAUGAUGUAGAGCUCACAGUUGACCUAUUAAGACAUGUAGCAUGAGUAAAAAGUAAUCUGUGUUGUUUUAAUCCAUUGAGAUGUGGGUUUGUCAUGACUAUAACCUAGUCCAUCUUGUUUUACACAAGUGGUAAUUAAAGCCAGGCAUACAAAAUGAAUGAAAUUGCCUAGAAAGAGAAUCGACUGUACUCUAGGAGGAUAUACCUUCAAUGGAAUCAGAGAAUGAAAAGAGAGGAGAAAACCUAGAAGAAUUUUCUGCGUCAGAAGCUAUUUGAAGAGAGCUUCAAGAAGAAAAAAAUGGUCCAGUGUCCAUUACUGUUAAGAGAUCAAGUCUCAAACAGGAAUGAAAAUUUCUACUGGAUUUACCAACAAGGUGGUCAUGAUGAUCUGAGCAAGAAGUCUUUCAUUGAAUGAAGGAGACAAAGGCAAAAUGGUUUGAAGAUUGAGUGGGAGUUUGAGGAAAGGAAGAAACAGAAUAUAAACUCCUUUGGAAAGCCUGGAUGGAGGAGAAACUGAGUGCAAUGAGAUAUAGCUCCAAAAUAAGAACUGAAAACAAGGCUUUUAAGACGAGUGCCCAACUCAACUCAUGCAGGAGUUCCCAUCUCGGCUCAACAGUAAUGAACCCAACUACUAUCCAUGAGGACAUGGUUUUGAUCUGUGGCCUCACUCAGUAGGUUAAGGAUCCAGCAUUGGUAUAAGCUGUGGUGUAGGCCAGCUGCUAUGGCUCUGAUUUGACCCAGAGUCUGGGAAUUUCCAUAUGCUGUGGGUGUGGUCCUAAAAAGACAAAAAAAAAAAAAGUAUCUUACAGAGUAUAAUUAUUUAGAAUUCUAGGAGUUCCCGUCGUGGCGCAUGGUUAACGAAUCCAACUAGGAACCAUGAGGUUGUGGGUUCGAUCCCUGGCCUUGCUCAGUGGGUUGAGGAUCCGGUGUUGCCAUGAGCUGUGGUGUAGGUUGCAGACGCGGCUCGGAUCCCACGUUGCUGUGGCUCUGGCGUAGGCCGGUGGGUACAGCUCCGAUUCGACCCCUAGCCUGGGAACCUCCACAUGCUGUGGGAGCAGCCCAAGAAAUGGCAAAAAAAAAAAAAAAAAAAAAAAAACAACAACAACAAAAAAAAGAUCGCCAAUGAGCUAAUUAACAGCCUGUUAAUUGCAGAUGAAAUGGUUACUCCCUAAAAUUUUAGAUAAUUUCUUCAAUAAUUUUUGCAGCCCCACAAAAUAGAAGCCACUAUCCAAAUGAAAGAUUCAGACAGAAUGUACAGGUUUUAAUUUCUGGCAUGCUAUUCUGUAUGUACAUAUUUGCAUUUAAAGGCUGCAAGAGAAACUUGUUAAAGUUUAAUGAUAAUAAUAUUAACAACAAAAACAACUUUUUAUCAAUUGCCCCGAAUGUGCCAAAUCAGUGUUGGGUGAAUUAAAUAUCUUACCUUAAUCCUUUCAAUAACUUAAGUGGUAGGUGUUAUAAUUCCUGUUUUACACAAAAACAGAAUAUACCGGUUUAAGUACAUACAGAGAGCAGGCAACCCAGUCAGGACACUAACCAAGACCCUUACGCCAUCAGUGUUGCACAUAAAAUUGUGGAUAUUUUUCAUUACAAACACAAAUAUUCAACCUCCAGAUUGUCAAGAUAAUAGGCAUUGAGCUUUGUUCAGCUUUGUGAAAAUUGUGGCUCAUUUUAGAAAUGUGUAUAUUCUACCUAGAGCUAGAAGGUAGAAAUUUCUUUUAGAGUCUGAUAAAGAUUGUUAUUAAGACCCACAAGUAGAACUUGAUUAUGUAGCAUUGGCAAAGAAAUUCUCUCUAUAAGUGAAAAAUCUUACUUUCCAAAAUAUUUAAGCUAUUUAUCUCAAAGGACCUUUGGAGUUCUCACACAGUGGGUAAAUAACAAUAGCAAAAAUUAUUUAAAACAAUCUUUAUGGUGAGAUAAAUAAAUGUGGGUGGAAAAUCCUCUCAUUCCCCUAUUAAUAUUUUUUCUUGUCCUUCUAUUCAAUACUUUCAGAUUUGCCAUUUGCUGAGUGAACUUAAAUGUUAGAUGAUUGGUCUCAUGUUUGUAUAAAGGAAAUAUUCAUAAUUAAAGGCUCCUGUUUUCUUUACCAUCCCAACCAAAGUGAUAAUUUUAAAAUAGGUCAUGUCUGGAAUGUGGUUUACAUCCUAGCUUGGUCAGUAACUAUGACCAUGAGCAGACUAUCAACAAUUAAUAGCCCAAAAAAAAAAAA
rnacentral:lncRNA from 1 species